rnacentral:misc_RNA from 1 species
AAGUCGUAACAAGGUUUCCGUAGGUGAACCUGCGGAAGGAUCAUUAGUGAAAUCGAGGGCUUUUGGAGCACUCUCUUCUCUAUAACUAUACUUCAUUGUGCACAGGCGGGUAGCUGAGAGGAAACUCUCUUCUGCUUGCUGUUACCAUACUACUUUAUCAUCAACUUGGCGCGUAUGUUUUUGGGUUGAAUCUUAUGUUAAAUGAGAGAAAACUUUUGUACAA